GCCCGCGGCGGCCGCUCCCUGUCAGGCAGCCGGUUCCUCCUGGCCGGGCCCGGGUGGGCCGCCUUUCUAUGUCGGAGGCCGGCUCCCGGCAGCGCCCGCCCACCGAACCCGAGCACUGUCCACGCUCAGGGGUCCCGGCCGCGAGCACCAUGGCAUUCCGGCCUGCGCGUCGCCUGCCGCCCAGACGCGGAGGUUCAGCCUGAGGCUCCUGAGGAACCGGGGUCGUGGACGGGUGCUCCGCUCCCAUCCGUCUCCCAACUCCCGCCCCCACCCCGCCCCUGGGGUUCGGCCGUCGGGCGCUCGACGCUCGACUGCGCGGCGGAUCGACGCCCUCGGCGCUCCGGUGGCGGAAGUGAGGGCGUUGGCGGCAGGGCGGCAGCGGCCAGGGAGCCCUUGGUCGAGCGCGGGGCCCUGUCCGUGCGGGCCUGCAGAUUACUUCUGUAGCUUGACCUCUACUUUCCUCAACAAGCAGAAUGUCUCGAACACGACAACCCCCGCUUGUGACAGGCAUCUCUCCAAAUGAAGGAAUCCCAUGGACAAAGGUCACGAUUAGGGGAGAAAACCUGGGGACUGGGCCAGCUGACCUCAUAGGUCUGACAAUUUGUGGGCAUAAUUGCCUUCUGACAGCAGAGUGGAUGUCUGCGAGUAAAAUUGUAUGUCGCGUGGGACAGGCCAAGAACGACAAAGGAGACAUUAUUGUCACAACCAAGUCAGGUGGCAAAGGAACCUCCACAGUCUCCUUCAAGCUGCUCAGACCUGAGAAAAUAGGUAUUUUGGAUCAGUCUGCUGUGUGGGUUGAUGAGAUGAAUUACUAUGACAUGCGCACUGACAGGAAUAAAGGGAUUCCUCCCUUGUCCCUGCGUCCUGCUAAUCCACUCGGCAUCGAGAUUGAAAAAGGUAAAUUUCCCCAGAAGGACUUAGAAAUGCUGUUCCCUGGAAUGAGUGCUGAUUUUACAAGUGAGAACUUUUCGGCUGCCUGGUACCUCAUAGAGAACCACUCCAACACCAGUUUUGAACAGCUCAAAAUGGCCGUCACCCACCUGAAGAGACAGGCUAACAAGAAGAGCGAGGGCAGCCUGGCGUGCGUGAAAGGGGGACUCAGUACUUUCUUUGAGGCACAGGACGCCCUCUCAGCCAUCCAUCAGAAACUAGAAGCGGAUGGAACGGAAAAAGUUGAAGGAUCCAUGACGCAGAAACUGGAGAAUGUUCUGAACAGAGCAAGUAACACUGCAGACACAUUAUUUCAAGAAGUCUUGGGUCGUAAGGACAAGGCGGAUUCCACUAGAAAUGCGCUCAAUGUGCUGCAGCGAUUUAAGUUUCUCUUCAACCUUCCUCUGAGUAUUGAGAGGAACAUCCAGAAGGGUGAUUAUGAUGUGGUUAUUAAUGAUUAUGAAAAGGCCAAGUCACUUUUUGGGAAAACGGAGGUGCAAGUUUUCAAGAAAUAUUAUGCUGAAGUAGAAACACGGAUUGAAGCUUUGAGAGAAUUACUUCUGGAUAAGUUGCUUGAGACACCAUCGACCUUACAUGACCAAAAACGUUAUAUAAGGUACCUGUCUGACCUCCACGCGCCAGGCGACCCUGCGUGGCAGUGCAUCGGAGCCCAGCACCGAUGGAUCCUCCAGCUCAUGCACAGCUGCCAGGAGGGCUGCGUGCGGGACCUCAAAGGGCCACUGGGCCUUCACAGCGCCACGCUGGACCUGGACGGCGAUGUGCGUGCCUCCGCGCCGGGUCAUCUAGGCCAGACGGCGUCUCUGAAGAGGGGUAGCAGCUUUCAGCCUGGUCGAGAUGACGCAUGGAGAUACCAAACUCCCCACCGGGUGGCAUUUGUUGAAAAAUUGACCAAGCUUGUUUUAAGUCAGCUGCCCAACUUCUGGAAACUCUGGAUUUCAUAUGUUAACGGAAGCCUUUUCAGUGAGACUGCUGAGAAGUCAGGCCACAUUGAAAGAUCAAAGAAUGUAAGGCAAAGACAAAAUGAUUUUAAGAAAAUGAUCCAGGAAGUAAUGCACUGUCUGGUGAAGCUGCUCCGGGGGGCCCUGCUCCCGCUCAGCGUCACGGAGGGCGGAGGGCGGCAGUGCAGAGGCUGGGAAGUGAAGGCCGAGCUCUCUGGGCAGGGGCUCGCUCACGCCAUCCAGACUCUGAGGCUUACUUAUGAAUCCUUGACUGCCCUUGAGAUUCCUAAUGACCUGUUACAGACGAUCCAGGACCUCGUCUUGGACCUUCGAGUGCGUUGUGUGGUGGUCACACUGCAGCACACAGCGGAAGAAGUAAAGAGAUUGGCUGAAAAGGAAGACUGGGCUGUCGACAGUGAAGGCCUGACGUCCCUACCAUGCCACUUUGAGCGCUGCGUGGUGCACUCCCUGCAGUCGCUGCGAGAAGUCCUGGAGUGCAAGCCCGGAGAAGCCAGCGUCUUUCAGCAACCGAAAACCCAGGAAGAGGUUUGCCAACUAAGCAUCAACAUCAUGCAGGUUUUUAUAUGCUGUCUGGAACAGUUGAGCACCAAGCCUGAUGCCGAUGUAGAUACUGCACAUCUCUCCGUUGAUGUUUCUUCUCCUGAUUUGUUUGGAAGUAUCCAUGAAGACUUUAGUUUGACUUCUGAACAGAGACUGUUAAUAGUCCUGAGUAAUUGCUGCUACCUAGAACGUCACACCUUCCGAAAUAUCGCAGAACAUUUUGAAAAGCACAACUUCCAGGGAAUAGAAAAAAUAACACAGGUUAGCAUGGCCUCACUGAAAGAGUUGGACCAAAGGCUCUUUGAAAACUACAUUGAAUUGAAGGCAGACCCCAUCGUUGGCUCCUUAGAACCUGGAAUUUACGCAGGCUACUUCGACUGGAAGGACUGCCUGCCCCCGACAGGUGUCAGAAACUACUUAAAAGAAGCAUUGGUGAAUAUAAUUGCUGUGCAUGCAGAGGUGUUCACUAUUUCCAAAGACCUGGUGCCUCGGGUGCUGUCUAGGGUGGUGGAAGCAGUUUCUGAAGAGCUGAGUAGGCUGAUGCAGUGCGUCUCAUCCUUCAGCAAAAACGGAGCAUUGCAGGCAAGACUUGAAAUCUGCACCCUGAGGGACACCGUGGCUGCUCACCUGACGCCAGAGAGCAGAUGCGCUUUUUCUGACGUUCCUCUUCCUGGUGGGGCCGGCGUGUCCCUGCCUGGGAUGCUGUCUGUGUUCCAGAUCCAGUUUCAAGCAGGCUCUGGAAGCCCUACCGCAGCUCUCGAGCGGAGCGGACAGAAAGUAAGUCUGGGUGCUGGUCUCAGGGACCUAAACUCCUCCUCUUCAGGUGGAGACUUGGCCUUGAGGAAGGCGGUACUCGGUGGCCCUCAGGUAUGCGUUGUUAGCUUGUCUCCCACGCGGCAGAAGGAGGUAAAACCUGGGUUUCAUGACGAUUCAGAAAUUGGUUCUUUUACUGUUUUAAGUGACCAUACCAGUCCCUUAAACGUCCAUAAGAAAGUUUAUUUUGACUCACUCAGUAAACUAUAUUCUUAUCUGAAAUUUUUAAGAAAAUACUUCGAGAACCGUAAAAGAGAGGACAGCAUAGUAAAGUGCAGGACUCAGUGAUGUUUCCUUCCAGUAGGUCAGCAGUGUACCUUUUGUGCUCUGUAAUAUGAAGUGUUAAGGCUAAAUUUGUAGACAUGACAUAAUAAAGUUAUAUGCGUUUCGCUAAUAUUGUACUAAUGGUCUCAGCCUGACCUCAAACUUUGCUACUCACGUAACAGGAAAUUCUGACCCGAGACAAAGUCGAGGCCAGGCAAAGGUCACGAGUGCCCGGGCUCCCCUCACCUGAGACAGCGGAAACACCGCCGGCCUGGGCCCCUUCCCCAGCCCGGCCGAGGUCCGCCCACCCUUGCAGCUGGCUGACGAGGCAGACAGUUACGGAGCCCUGACUGCGUGACACCCUCGGUGUGGCCUGGGGCAGCACAGAGGAUGUUGUGGACACUCAGAGGGCAGAGGGAGCCUGUAGGGUGUGGACGGGGCUGGGAGGACGGGCGGCAGAGACCUUCCUAGUCUCCUGCUCCUCUCGCUGACUGCGUGGUUCAAAUGCUGUCCAUUCCUCUAGCGUGAACAUCAUGAAAGAUUGAAGCAGCCACGUAUCGUUAACAUGUGCAGCUAGUGCUCGCUAGGCUCAAAAGACCAGUGCUUUUGAGGGAGUCAGGAGCAGCAGACGCCACAGUGAAGGCCAGGACGGGGGCUGUUUCAGAUCUGCGGGGAGCGCCGUGAAACCAGGAAGUAGUCUCGUGACCCCAGUAAGCUCGUUUCUUGGCUGCUUCCUCUGAGCCAGACGAGCUGUAAGGUCCCUUGUGGCCCCAGAAUGAUGCGGCUCUGUCUGGCCAGCACAGGGACCAGGCAGGUUAUUGCUGGGGUUGGGACUGACCCUGGGUGUUCCUGUGCUGCAUUCACCCCUUCAGUCCCCUUCUCCAGUGUUCGCAAAAGACAGAAAUGCAAAAUAAGGGCAACAGAAAAGAGACCAGUCGUUGCCACGGGGUGGGGUGAGGGCAAAGGUGACGACAGACGGGCAGCACAGGAGGAUUUGGAGGUGACGGGACUGCUCUGUCCCGACGGCGGGGGUCUUGAGGCUGCUGCGGUGCGUUUAGCAACGGGCACAGAGCUGAUGCCAAAAAGAGUACAUUUCAGUGUAUGUGAAGUGUUUAAAAUUAGAGGCUCAAAUACCCAAACAUCAGUCUGUUUGGGGGAGCAUCUAACUAAUCUAGGGGAAGGGGACAGAGGGCGAUUUUAUGUGUAAGGUGAAGACGUCUGCACGUGUAUGUCCUUGCAGCUAGCUUCUUUGGUCGGCUUAUUUCUGUCAUUGAGUCCAGAAUCCACAGAUGAGUGACUUUCCUGGCCCAGGGAGGCACCGUGGGGCAGGGCGUGUGGGGGACCGGACCGGACCGGGCGAGCGUGUCUGGGUCCCGCCCGCCGCCCGCCCGUGGCUGUCAGCGCCUCUCCCCACAGGCUGCUGGAGUUGCUGCUGAGCCGGGUCAGGAGCGGCGUGCACCUGCAGCUCGCCUGCUUCCAGGCCGCCCCUCCGCCUGCCGUGAAGACGCAGGUGCCUUCCAGAUGACGCGCUCCCCCGAACACCCACAGCUGCAUGCUGCAUGGUGA